rnacentral:tRNA from 1 species
UCCGCCGUAGUGUAAUGGCAGCACGGCGACCUUUGGAGUCGUUAGGUCGAGGUUCGAAUCCUCGCGGCGGAG